GAAUCCCUAGUACGGCGAGUGAGCGGGAGAGCUCAAAUUUGAAAGCUGGUACCUUCGGUGCCCGCGUUGUAAUCUCGAGACGCGUUUUCCGCGCGGCGCUAUGGACAAGUUCCUUGGAACAGGACAUCGUAGAGGGUGAAAAUCCCGUACUUGCCAUGGAUGCACCGUGCUUUGUGAUACGUGCUCAAAGAGUCGAGUUGUUUGGGAUUGCAGCUCAAAAUGGGUGGUAGACUCCAUCUAAAGCUAAAUAUCGGGGAGAGACCGAUAGCGAACAAGUACCGUGAGGGAAAGAUGAAAAGCACUUUGGAAAGAGAGUUAAAAGUACGUGAAAUUGUCGAAAGGGAAGCGCUUGAAGUCAGCCAUGCCGCUCAGGACUCAGCCUGGCUUUUGCUUGGUGUACUUCCUGGGUAGCAAGUCAGCAUUGGUUUGGACCGUCGGAGAAGCAUGGCAGGAAUGUGACGCCCUCGGGCGUGUUAUAGCCUGCCAUUGGAUACGCCGGUCUAGACCAAGGAACGCAGUGCGCCUUAUGGCGGGUCUUCGGACACCUCGCAC
rnacentral:rRNA from 1 species